UGCCCGGGCUGAACUGAAACUCUGAGAUCAAGCAAUCCUCCCACCUUAGCCUCCCGAGUAUCUGGCUUGUGCCACCCCUCCCAGCUAAAUAUUUCAGCAACUUCAGAGGCACUUAAUUUUCCUCCUUUUGUAAACUGGCAAUCUUGACUCUAACAUUGCUAGGAAUUACUUAUCUAUAUUUGUCCUUAAAUACAAGACUAUUAAAAAAAAAUCAAGGGCUGCUUUCUGCCCGUGGAUACCGCUGAGGAAGCCUCGUUAAAGUCUCUCUUCCCAGGGCCGUCCUGUCCUAAAGAGCCGGAACAGCUGCGGAAGCUCUUCAUGGGAGGGCUGAGCUUUGAAACAACCGAUGAGAGCCUGAGGAGCCCUUCUGAGCAGUGGAGAAGGCUCACAGAUUGUGUGGACUCCAAGUGAAGGUGAAAGAGACCAGACGAGACCUUUCCUAAUUCCAUUCAUCUCUGAGGGAUUUAUAAGGAAGUUACCAACCCCUGGUCUAAAUAAUCAAACAGAGAAAAGAAGAAAAGGAAAAAAGGAUCAGAGGACACAGAAGAAUUUCUGGACACACUUCCAUCUGCUAAUUAAAUGGAAGGAGCAAGUUUGGGUUUUUUUGUUUUUCCUCUACCUCAAUCAAAGACUAUGAAUCUUUCUUUUAAUCUCUGGAGCUAACUUCUCUAAUUAGUUUCCUAGAGGAAGAGGAUGCUUUACUAUUGGCAUUUCACACUCUGCACAAUGGUAUGAACUUGACAUACCUCAGCUGAUCCAGCAGAAAGAGCUCUAAAACUCAAAAGUUAUGUCAUCAGUAACUGUCAAUAGAUAGAAGUGUUCGCAGGUACUACUAGUUCCAAUACUCAUUGACUUUGUAACAACUGGUAUAUUAGCUACAAUCAAACAAAAUGAGGUAUUCUUUACAAGAAUUACAUAAGCCCUUUCCAAUAAAUUUUCUGUAACGAUGGAAAUAUUCUAUAAUCUGUCUAGAUAACUAGUUUGGGAUGAGGUGAGGGGGAAGGAGAGAUUACAAAAGGGCUUGGAGGAAACUUUUAAGCAUAAAAGAUGUGUUCAUUCCUUUGAGCAUAUUGAUGGUUUCAAAUUUCAUUUUAAAUUUGUCAAAGUACAUAUGUUAAAUAUAUACUGUUUACUUUUUACCUCUA